GUUUGGGGGGAUCAAAGGGUGACACGUGCCCCCCCCCAAACCCCCACUUUACUCUCUCCCUAUAUAUAGAGUUUGAUUGGGCUACUAUCGGUAGUAAACUGCUCGAUUUACUACCGAUUUGUUUUUGAUGAUAGAGCUUCCAAAUUGACGAUCGGCACCGUUGAACAUGAUCUAGAUCAUUUAAAUUAUCUAGAAAUCAAAUUUCAUGAUUUUUUGGCAUCACUAACUGAACAAUCAAAGGGUCACAAAAUCUAUAAUUUUAAUGGUUGAUAUGGUGCAUUUGCUCGUUUAACGGUAUAGAAGAGUUCAAAUCAACUAAAGUUUUGUUAAAAAUUUUUUAAAACUAUUUAAAAUAAGAUCUAGACUCUAGAUCUCAAAUAUAAAAAUUGUAUCAUCACUAUUUGAAGAAUAUUCAUUUCCAGCCAUUUAUUUUUCUGUUCACUUGAUGGACAAGAGAACAAUAUCGCAAAUGUGUGAAAUUUGAUUUCCAGAUAGUUUAAAUAGUUUAGAUCAUGUUUAACGGUGCCAAUCAUCAAUUUGGAAGCUCUAUUAUGGAAAACAAAUCAGUAGUAAACCGAGUCGUUUACUACCGAUAGUAUUCUAGCAAAACUAUAUAUAUAUA
rnacentral:lncRNA from 1 species